rnacentral:rRNA from 1 species
ACCGACCCUAGCCCUAGCAAACACAAACCAAACAACCACUAACACAUAAAAUAAAGCAUUCAAAACUAAGAGUAUAGGAGAUAGAAACUUUACUAAGGCGCUAUAGAGAAAGUACCGCAAGGGAAAGAUGAAAGAUAAGUCAACAGUAAAAAAAAGCAAAGAUUAACCCUUGUACCUUUUGCAUAAUGAACUAGCCAGAACAAAUUUAGCAAAGAGAACUUUAGUUAAAUACCCCGAAACCAGACGAGCUACCUACAAACAGCUAACAGAGCAAAUUCAUCUAUGUCGCAAAAUAGUGAAGUGAUUUUUAGGUAGAGGUGAUAAGCCAACCGAGCCUGGUGAUAGCUGGUUGUCCAGUACAGAAUCUUAGUUCAACUUUAAGCCCUACCUGACGAAAAACUAAUCCCAAUGUAGACUUAAAUGUUAGUCUAAGGGGGUACAGCCCCUUAGAAUAAGGUAAACCUUAAUUAGAGAGUAAGAGUAUAAAAAACCAUAGUUGGCCUAAAAGCAGCCACCAAUUGAGAAAGCGUUCAAGCUCAACAACCAACCACCCACCAUAAUCCCACAACUCAUAACCAACUCCUAAACCGAAACUGGACUAAUCUACAUAUGUGUAGAAGAGACACUGCUAGCAUGAGUAACAAGAAAUAAUUCUCCCAGCACAAGCCUAUAUCAGACCGGAUGCCCACUGAUAGUUAACAGCCCAAUAAAUUCUAGCCCAACUCAAGACACUUAUUCCACAGACUGUUGACCCAACACCGGAGUGCAUAUUACUCAAGGGAAAGAUUAAAAAGAGUAAAAGGAACUCGGCAAACGCAAACCCCGCCUGUUUACCAAAAACAUCACCUCUAGCAUAAAAAGUAUUAGAGGCACUGCCUGCCCAGUGACACUAGUUAAACGGCCGCGGUAUCCUGACCGUGCAAAGGUAGCAUAAUCAUUUGUUCCUUAAAUAGGGACUUGCAUGAAUGGCCACACGAGGGUUUAACUGUCUCUUACUCUCAAUCAGUGAAAUUGACCUCCCCGUGAAGAGGCGGGGAUACACAAAUAAGACGAGAAGACCCUAUGGAGCUUUAAUUAACCAACUCACAUAUACUCUAAACCAACCCGAUACGGGAAUAAAAACUAUAUUCUGAGCUGGCAAUUUCGGUUGGGGUGACCUCGGAGAACAAAAAAUCCUCCGAAGCGAAUCAAGCCAAGACAUAACAAGUCAAAGCGACCUGUAAAACAACUGAUCCAACAAAUUGAUCAAUGAAACCAGUUACCCUAGGGAUAACAGCGCAAUCCUAUCCUAGAGUCCAUAUCGACGAUUAGGGUUUACGACCUCGAUGUUGGAUCAGGACAUCCCAAUGGUGCAACCGCUAUUAACGGUUCGUUUGUUCAACGAUUAAAGUCCUACGUGAUCUGAGUUCAGACCGGAGUAAUCCAGGUCGGUUUCUAUCUAUUAGAUGCCCCUCCCAGUACGAAAGGACAAGAGGGACAAGGCCAAUUCACCAAGCACGCCUCCAACCUAAUGGAUGAACUAAUCUCAAUCCACUAAGUUAUCACAACCCUGCCCAAGAGCAGGGCUU